GGUCGAUUCGUCUAGGGGUUAGGACGCAUCCCUUUCACGGAUGAAACACGGGUUCGAUUCCCGUAUCGACUACGA
rnacentral:tRNA from 2 species